AGCUUUGCGCAGUGGCAGUAUCGUAGCCAAUGAGGUUUAUCCGAGGCGCGAUUAUUGCUAAUUGAAAAUUGACCAAUUAGUUAUUCAAAGAUGAAUUAUAUUUUUAUUUAUUUAUUUUUUUAAGAUUUUAUUUCAGAGAGAGAAAG